ensembl:snoRNA SNORA48 small nucleolar RNA, H/ACA box 48
UGUCCCAGACCUGGGUGGAGUGGCAUCUGGUUGGUAGUGCCCAUCUCAUAUCAGCCAGGGACAAAGAAACCUCUUGUUUAUCCCAGCUUGGCUUUUGAUCUGUGCUUAUGCCUGGUUCAUGCUUAGGGCACAUGG